rnacentral:rRNA from 1 species
UGAUCCAGCCAUCCGCGUGUGCGAUGAAGGCAUUCGGGUUGUAAAGCACUUUUGGCAGGGUAGAAACGGCUUGGGCUCAUACCGUGGGCUAAUGACGGUACAUGCAGAAUAAGCACCGGCUAACUAUGUGCCAGCAGCCGCGGUAUACGUAGGGUGCAAGCGUUAAUGGGAUUACUGGGCGUAAAGCGUGUGCAGGCGGUUCGGAAAGAAUGGUGUGAAAUCCCGGGGCUUUACCUCGUAAUUGCACUUUUAACUGCCGGGCUAGAGUACGUCAGAGGGGGGUAGAAUUUCCACUUGUAGCAGUGAAAUGCGUAGAGAUGUGGAGGAAUACCGAUGCGAAGGCAGCCCCCUGGGAUUAUACUGACGCUCAUGCACGAAAGCGUGGGGAGCAAACAGGAUUAGAUACCCUGGUAGUCUCACGCCCUAACGAUGUCAACUAUGCUGUUGGGGUUAUUACUUAGUAGCGCAGCUAACGCGAUGAUAGUUGACCGCCUGGGGA